rnacentral:pre_miRNA from 1 species
ACCAGACUUUUCCUAGUCCCUGAGACCCUAACUUGUGAGGUAUUUUAGUAACAUCACAAGUCAGGCUCUUGGGACCUAGGCGGAGAGG